CAGGUACAAUCCUUACAGGGAUGGGCCUCUCUUCCAUGACUUGGGUUUAGUCUGAAGCCAAGACAAGUCCUGUAAAGGCUCCAAGUCUUUCUUGAUCUACACAGAUGCAGCAGGCCUUCAGAUGAUCGGUAGGACUACACUGUUCCUUCUUCAGGCCAAUAAAUCACCACAAUCCCCGGGUAAGCCAUGAGAAGCUAGAAAAGGAGUCAUUCUCCAAACCCUGAAGUUUAAAGCAAGACUCAACAGGCUUACCAGAUCUGGAGAGAUGCUUCCAAGGCUGCCUCUGGAUGCUCCGGUGACCCAACCAGGCAUUCUCCCUGCUACAUUCCAGGCUGACAGUGUUCAAGCCACCACAAGCACCAAGAAACAAGAACGUAGUCCCUGGUGUGGUAAGGGCCUCUGUGGACCUGUGGUUUAGGUCUCCUUGGUGCCACCAUCUUUUCCAUAGAGAGCUUCCCAUUUUGAUGGUACCCAUCUUAUAAAGUUACAGAAGGCAUCUCAGAUUCUCAACAACCCUCACCAGAUCCCCACUGAAUAACACAUCGUCUGGCAACAGGAGGCGUUUGAUUACAUUUGGAAGGAAUGCCUGCGUCAACUCCAGUUGUCUCCGAAUUGCAACCGAUGGGCCUCACGUGUGGCGGCCAACAGUUUGCCUUCACCCACUCCCCUCUCCACAAUGAACCCUUUCUCUGGGAAAACAAGAAACCUACGUGCCAUCCCGAGUGAGAGACAAACAGGAGCCUUGUCACACCACAUGCGCUGAGGACUUAGCCACCGCAAGCCGUGCUUCACACAUCUUGAGAGAAAAAAAGUCUCUGACCCAAGAGACCAAAGUGAUCUUGUCCCUGCUUUCUCUUCAGCACAUACGUGUAGGUUCCCAUGUGUUCUUCAUACGAUGCCAUGCUGCUGUCUCCUGUCUGACCCCUCCCCCAUUCUAGCUCAGUCGUGAUCCUGCAGGCAGAAUUAUGUUCCGCACAGAUGUCCUUGUCCUAACUUUGGGGCCCUAUGACAGUGUUAUUUCACAUGGCAAGGGUCAAGUAAUGUUCCAAGUAGAAGUAGGUCUGUGGUAACCGGUUUCAAAUGGGAAUAUAUGUUGGUCAUCUGUGUAACACCAGUGUCAUUACAUUCAUACAUUCAUGAACAGCAACCAGCAGGAUCAAAGCAGAGAGAUGUCAUCCUGAUAAAGAUUCCACCUCCAUUGCUUGCAUAAAGACAGGCAAGAGGACUGUGAACCCAGGGCUGGUGCAGUUCAUACAUUCUGGCAAACAGAUUCUCCAGUACCACUCGGUAGAUUUUUAGCUCUGUGGGAUCCAGGUUUCUGAUGCCCGGAACUGCACAAUAACAGAUGUGUAUGGUUGCAAGGGCAGUAGGAAACCUAUUCCGUGAGUGUGGACCUGGCACCUACGAGGCUGGCACCUCCAUCAGGUGCUUUCCCAGAGCAUGUGCUUCGCAUCGGUCACUAGGGUCCGCCUAAGGAAUGGAGCCGGUUCAUAUGUCCACUCAGAGGUUGCUGCAGGCAGCUCUUGGCUACACAGAUGACUGAAGGGCUGAGAAGCCAGUCCAGGCAUUAGCCAGAACAGUUGCUGCUCCACUAGCACUUGGUUAGGCCAGUGGGAUGAAGAAAGGAGGCCAUGUUAUUGGAGGCCAGAGACCAGAUCUCCUCAUGGAAGGUGGACCACGCCAGGAGACGGAGCCAC